GGUUUCCGUAGGUGAACCUGCGGAAGGAUCAUUAGUGAAUUAUAGGGCGUCUACUUGUAGAGCCUGACCUCCACUUCUAACACUGUGCACUUGAUGGCGAGGUAAUUAUGAUUAGGCCUUCGGGCUUAUGAUGAGAACCUUGCGGCUUCAUUUUAAACAUUAGUCAAAGUAUGUAAAGAAAUUUAAAACAAAAAAAACUUUCAACAACGGAUCUCUUGGCUCUCGCAUCGAUGAAGAACGCAGCGAAAUGUGAUAAGUAAUGUGAAUUGCAGAAUUCAGUGAAUCAUCGAAUCUUUGAACGCAACUGGCGCUUUUUGGUAUUCCAAAAAGCAUGCCUGUUUGAUACCGUAAACCAAAAUGAGCAUAGAAUUUAUUUUAUGGUCAUCUAUGGAUGUUUCUUCAAUUUGAAGUCAUCAAAAAUAUAUUUUAUAAUAGUGAACCUCUUAGCAAUUUUAAGACGUGAUAAUAUUUCUCUUGAAGAACUUUUCUCACUUAUUGAUUUUGCUUAAUGUUCUGCUAAUAAAUGUUUGUGCUCACUUCUUGUAAGUGUGUACAACCCUGAAGGUCGGUAUCAAAUCAGGUAGGAUUACCCGCUGAACUUAAGCAUAUCAAUAAGCGGAGGA
rnacentral:rRNA from 1 species